rnacentral:rRNA from 1 species
UACGUAGGGAGCAAGCGUUGUCCGGAAUCAUUGGGCGUAAAGCGCACGUAGGCGGCCUGUUAAGUCGGAUGUGAAAGCCCCGGGCUCAACCCGGGAAGUGCAUACGAAACUGGCGGGCUUGAAUAUGGAAGAGGGUCGCGGAAUUCCCGGUGUAGAGGUGAAAUUCGUAGAUAUCGGGAGGAACACCAGUGGCGAAGGCGGCGACCUGGGCCAAUAUUGACGCUGAGGUGCGAAAGCGUGGGGAGCAAACAGGGAUUAAGAAACC